rnacentral:piRNA from 1 species
UAAUUGCUUUUAAAUGCUUGAGAUGUUGAAC